GGAACUGAGAACGGUCCAUACUCCUACGGGAGGCAGCAGUAGGGAAUUUUCGGCAAUGGGGGGAACCCUGACCGAGCAACGCCGCGUGAACGAAGAAGUUAUUCGUAAUGUAAAGUUCUUUUAUCAGGGAAGAAAGAGGAAUUUGACGGUACCUGAGGAAUAAGCUCCGGCUAACUACGUGCCAGCAGCCGCGGUAAUACGUAGGGAGCGAGCGUUAUCCGGAAUUAUUGGGCGUAAAGGGUGCGUAGAUGGCAUAGUAAGUCUUUUGUAAAAAUGCUGGGCUCAACCCAGUAGGGCAAAAGAUACUGCAAAGCUAGAGUAUGACAGAGGCAAGUGGAACUACAUGUGUAGCGGUAAAAUGCGUAAAUAUAUGUAAGAACACCAGUGGCGAAGGCGGCUUGCUGGGUCGAUACUGACAUUGAGGCACGAAAGCGUGGGGAGCAAACAGGAUUAGAUACCCUGGUAGUC
rnacentral:rRNA from 1 species